UGGGGAAUCUUGCGCAAUGGGGGCAACCCUGACGCAGCCAUGCCGCGUGAAUGAUGAAGGUCUUAGGAUUGUAAAAUUCUUUCAGCGGGGACGAUAAUGACGGUACCCGGAGAAGAAGCCCCGGCUAACUUCGUGCCAGCAGCCGCGGUAAUACGAAGGGGGCUAGCGUUGCUCGGAAUUACUGGGCGUAAAGGGCGCGUAGGCGGACAGUUAAGUCGGGGGUGAAAGCCCGGGGCUCAACCUCGGAAUUGCCUUCGAUACUGGCUGUCUUGAGUGUGAGAGAGGUGUGUGGAACUCCGAGUGUAGAGGUGAAAUUCGUAGAUAUUCGGAAGAACACCAGUGGCGAAGGCGACACACUGGCUCACUACUGACGCUGAGGCGCGAAAGCGUGGGGAGCAAACAGGAUUAGAUACCCUGGUAGUCCACGCUGUAAACGAUGAGUGCUAGUUGUCGGGCGGCAUGCCGUUCGGUGACGCAGCUAACGCAUUAAGCACUCCGCCUGGGGA
rnacentral:rRNA from 1 species